UACGAAGGGGGCUAGCGUUUUUCGGAAUUACUGGGCGUAAAGCGCACGUAGGCGGAUUUGUAAGUCAGGGGUGAAAUCCCGGGGCUCAACCUCGGAACUGCCUUUGAUACUGCAAGUCUCGAGUCCGGAAGAGGUGAGUGGAAUUCCUAGUGUAGAGGUGAAAUUCGUAGAUAUUAGGAAGAACACCAGUGGCGAAGGCGGCUCACUGGUCCGGUACUGACGCUGAGGUGCGAAAGCGUGGGGAGCAAACAGG
rnacentral:rRNA from 1 species